UGAACGGUGGGGAUUUUUUUUCUUCAUAAUUUUUUUCCUUUGUGAUCUCUUUCUAUGCUCUUUCCAGCUGCCUUGCAUUUAUGAUCCACUUUACAUGUGUUUUUCACUUAUGGUCCACCGCCUCUAAAAUCCUAUAGGAUACCCCCAUGUAUUUACAUCACCGCUUACUUUGAUCAGGCCGUCUCUAUUAUCACCUGUUGGUUUUUUUAGAUCCUUCCACCGCCUAAUAGACGACGCUUCUUCUCCACUUUUCUUCUUCAUCUCAAGCUUCAUAGAUUCGGGGUCGCCACCGCCGAAGCUUCGCACCUCCAUUCUUCUCCAAUCAUUUAUCGAGCGACCAUUGGUAUUAAUCCCACCUUUUCAUCACCUCUCUUUGAUUUCUUUGACUUGUGCGACCAUGGGAAAGAGGCGUACCUCGAACUUGCCUCAGUCGGCCUCCGCUGCACCGGAAUCAACCAUUGGUACCCUGUUCGACAUCAUCAAUUGAUUUCAGCCACAGAUAAAGCAGAUGCCCACAUCCGACCAAGGGAGAGAGGCGUACGAUGACAAUUAACAUAUUGUGAAGCAAAAUAUAAGAAAAAUAUCAAGUUUGAUAAUCCCAUCUAAUUCUUCAGUAUCGAUUGAGGUUUUAAAUUUGUAAAUUCUUCUAUUCCCUUUUUUCUUCAUAUUUUAUGAAAUUCCAUAAAAUCCUUAUGCCUUUAUGUAGCUUGAUGAACGAUUAACACAAUGCUCAUGUGAUUGAUUUUUGUACCUUUUCAGGUGUUGUUAAACCACUCAAAUAUGUUUAAGCUUUAUCAUGUAUGUGUAAAAUUGGCUUCAAACUUACAUGGAAACCUAAUUAUAAUGAAAUACAAUGUUCUACGUACUUUCAUAGGUCUGGAAUGUGUAUGGGGUUAUCAAUUUCUUACAAGCAUUGAUGGAGAAAUAUUCCAUCAUUCAGAUCCUACAUUAGGAAAAAGAAGAUCUUCAAUAGCUGACAGCUGCAUAUGGAUACGAUUAUGGUGGUGGAAGUAUUGUUUUAAAGGUGUUGGGUUACUUCAACAUUAUUGAAUUAUUAAGAGUUCAUUAUUUAUUGGGAGGCUAAAUACAGGAGGAAAACUAUUUGUCGAUGCUGUUGUUAGGUUGGUUGUUUUAAGGUUGAGAUGAAGAGUUGGAUAUGUACAGGUAUUAACUUUCGUGUAUAGCAUCUAAUUCCCUAUUGACAUAUCAUCUUUUUAGCAUGAAACCAUAUAUUAACCUAAUGUGCUUCCAGAAUUCGGCUUUGAUGUUGUGCAAUACGGGUAAUGUAAUAAUCUCUUCAUUUAUUUUUAUUAGUUUUCCUUCCGGGUAGAACAAAGUUUUUUUUUUUUAAUUAUAUUGUGACAUUUGUUAGUAUAAUAUUAAUAUAUGAAAGCCGAAUUCAAUAAAAAUGAAUAAAUAGUUAUGAUUUAGGAGUAAGUAUCUUGGGUUAUUGCAAAUUGGCAGCUAUGGAUACCUUUUCAAUUUCUCAACUUCUGUUUUGCCUCUCAAUAGUUUUAGGUUUGAGUGAAAACAUAAUCCAUUUUAGUGAAAAUUUUCAAGAUAUUAUGCAGACUGAAGGUUGGUCUAACCUCUGAAAGGGCAAUUUGGUCAAUGUCAUUUGUGUUGCUUGCUCCGAGCAAAACCAUUGAGGUACACAAUUUUUUUCUUUUUUUGGUUGAUCUUCAUUUGGGUUUGGUUGAUGUUUGAAUUGAAAGUGAUUAUAUGAUAUGGAAAGGAAUAAUCAGAACAAAAAGAAAUGAGAUAGACAAGGGUAGAAAUGUGAUUUUACUCUACCAUAUGAAUAUGAUAAUUGGUUUUGUUGCAGUUCCAGUUCGUAUUGAACUAAUUGAAACUGAUUCAUUGUAUGCUUACUAUGGAACUUCAUCUGACCUGGUGUUGUUUUAGAUUAUUUUGUACUUUUGCAUAUGACAAAUAUGGCCUAGGUCUUGCUGAACUGAUAUGUAAUUUUGUUCCAGGAUGAAGCUGGAACAGCAGCCCUAGAGACAGUUGAAGUUGAUGCAUUUUUACUUUGACUAUGAAGCUUCAAUUCUUAUUCCAUUCUAUUGAUUGUUACUUUUUUUUUCAAUUUCCUCAGGUUUCAAAGUUCAAUGGUGAACAAUAUUAUGAUGACGGAAGUCGAUACUGGAAAUUCUUGGCCUUUAGAAGUUUCUACACCUGCAAAAGAAGCAAGGAUGCAUCCGGAAACAAAUGUAGUAAGUUAAUACCGAAACUCCAUUAUUUUGACUUAUUGUACCACAUUCAAAAGUCAACUUUGUGUUGACCGAACUAAAGGGGUUCUAUUUUUAUUUUUUUUAUUUUGAAGGUGAUAGUAGACUUCUUAGUUGAUAUAUGGCUUGACGAGGGUUUAUAUGAUAGAUGAUUUGUUGGAAUUUAUCAUAUAAUGUUCAAAUUAGGAUCAGUUGUAAGUUAAUAGCAUAAAAAGUGCUUUUUAAAAGGUUAGGAAAAAUCGAGAAGUUGUAACCAAUAUUUGUCGUAUCCAACCCCGCAAAGCAGGGAUUCUUCCCUAGUUUAAAUUAAAAUUUUGAAAUAUUAAUAUUAAAUUAUGAUUUCCUAAAAUCUAGCUAUAAUUAAAGUAAUUACCUAAAAAGUGAAUUAAUCAUUUUUUUCGUUAAUAAAUAUAUUUUUUUAUCAGAUACUUUAAAAAAAAACAAGGCUUUUGAAUAUUCAUAUAUUUUUUUUUAUCUAACUAUUAAAAAAAACAACUUUUUUUCAAUUGAUUCAUACAAAAUCUCAUUUAGUGGUGAAUACACAAUAUAAAAUUACCAAUUUAUUGAAUUAGUUUUCUUUAAUCAUAUUUUAUAGAGUUAUAAUAAAAAUGAAUAUAAUAUAUUGUUGUUUAUAAAUACAAUUGUAAUCAUAAAUGAAUAAAACAAAAUAUGGAAAUCAAAAAAUCAAAUACAAUUGUAACUGUAAAAGAUUAAAACACUUCAAUUAUAUUCGGAAAACAACAAACAAUGUGAUGAAUAAAGUACUAACGUUAUUGUAGCACCCGGUUCCUGGUACGUAAAUGUUAUUUGAGUAUUUCCUUUCUUUUAGCCUUGGACUCGGCGAGUCAUAGGUCCGACUCGCCGAGUGGAUGCGGGACCCGGGACACGUUUAAGUUGGUGACUCGGCGAGUCCAUAUCCUGGACUCGGCGAGUCACAGCUGUUGGAUGAAACCCUAAGUUUCAGGGGUUUGCACCCUAUUUAAAGGACUUAUCAGCCCCAAGCCGGCCCCCAUUGACCCUUAAAGCCCUGUAUCUCUCGUUCUAAGCUAUUCUUUGAGAGUUUGAGGUUAGUGUGUGUGUUUUUGAAGGCUUUGAAAGAGGAAGGAAGUAGAUCCAGAAGAAGGGAAGCCAUCCAAGCGUUAUUUGUGUUCUUCCAGCAGUUCCUUUGAGCCGGAGGGUUUCCGGAGCAGCAGCAGCAGUAGUAGGUGAUCAAUUCCCACACAGACCAGCAGCUAUUUCGAGGUGAGUUUCCUUUCCAGUAGGAACGGGUCCAAGGCACCAAGGCCGACCCGUGUAGACGAGAUAUUAGUACUAGAGUGUGGGCCGAGCCCGUAUCUCUGGGUUUAGUCAAGUAUGAUAUAUGUGUUAAUAUGGUAGAAUUGCUAAUACUUGUUGUCUGCGUGAUAUUUGUAUGUUAUGAGUUGGCGGUUGAGUGUGGGCAGGGCCUGUAUCUCUCCGAGGUUGGAGUGUAGGCUAGGCCCGUAUCUCCCAGAUAGCGAAGUGUGGGCAGGGCCCGUAUCUUCACAAGUGUGGGCGAGGCCCGUAUCUCCCGGCUAGCGAAGUGUGGGCAGGGCCCGUAUCUUCCCGAGUGUGGGCAAGGCCCGUAACUCCUAGCUGAACAAUGGUUGUUAUAUGUUGCAUGGUACCUCCUCAGCUAGAGGAAAGGACCCGGCGCGGUAGCGGCACGUCACACACACUCUCCGGUUUCCGCAUUUACGAGCUUCACUGGGAUUUGUACUCUGAUAUUUUGAUCGAAUGUAUGAAUUGGCUUUUAGACAUGGUUCACUUGUGUGAUGACUUGAUCAGACAAUGUUUUAGCUUUUAAUAUUUUCUAAAAGUAAUGUUUUUAAAACGAAA